rnacentral:rRNA from 1 species
CUACGGGCUGCUCCAGUGGGGAAUAUUGCACAAUGGGCGCAAGCCUGAUGCAGCCAUGCCGCGUGUAUGAAGAAGGCCUUCGGGUUGUAAAGUACUUUCAGCGGGGAGGAAGGGAGUAAAGUUAAUACCUUUGCUCAUUGACGUUACCCGCAGAAGAAGCACCGGCUAACUCCGUGCCAGCAGCCGCGGUAAUACGGAGGGUGCAAGCGUUAAUCGGAAUUACUGGGCGUAAAGCGCACGCAGGCGGUUUGUUAAGUCAGAUGUGAAAUCCCCGGGCUCAACCUGGGAACUGCAUCUGAUACUGGCAAGCUUGAGUCUCGUAGAGGGGGGUAGAAUUCCAGGUGUAGCGGUGAAAUGCGUAGAGAUCUGGAGGAAUACCGGUGGCGAAGGCGGCCCCCUGGACGAAGACUGACGCUUAGGUGCGAAAGCGUGGGGAGCAAACAGGAUUAGAUACCCUCGUAGUC